rnacentral:rRNA from 1 species
UAAUACGUAGGGGGCAAGCGUUGUCCGGAAUUAUUGGGCGUAAAGCGCGCGCAGGCGGUGAUUUAAGUUUGGUGUCUAAGGCACGGGCUCAACCUGUGUACGCACUGAAAACUGGAUCACUUGAGUGCGGGAGAGGAAAGUGGAAUUCCACGUGUAGCGGUGAAAUGCGUAGAGAUGUGGAGGAACACCAGUGGCGAAGGCGACUUUCUGGACCGUAACUGACGCUGAGGCGCGAAAGCGUGGGGAGCAAACAGGAUUAGAUACCCUGGUAGUCCACGCCGUAAACGAUGAGUGCUAGGUGUUAGGGGUUUCGAUACCCUUGGUGCCGAAGUAAACACAGUAAGCACUCCGCCUGGGGAGUACGCUCGCAAGAGUG